AGCGAACGCUGGCGGCAGGCCUAACACAUGCAAGUCGAACGAACUCUUCGGAGUUAGUGGCGGACGGGUGAGUAACACGUGGGAACGUGCCUUUUGGUUCGGAAUAACUCAGGGAAACUUGUGCUAAUACCGAAUGUGCCCUUCGGGGGAAAGAUUUAUCGCCAUUAGAGCGGCCCGCGUCUGAUUAGCUAGUUGGUGAGGUAACGGCUCACCAAGGCGACGAUCAGUAGCUGGUCUGAGAGGAUGACCAGCCACACUGGGACUGAGACACGGCCCAGACUCCUACGGGGAGCAGCAGUGGGGAAUCUUGCGCAAUGGGCGAAAGCCUGACGCAGCCAUGCCGCGUGAAUGAUGAAGGUCUUAGGAUUGUAAAAUUCUUUCACCGGGGACGAUAAUGACGGUACCCGGAGAAGAAGCCCCGGCUAACUUCGUG
rnacentral:rRNA from 1 species